rnacentral:rRNA from 1 species
UACGUAGGGGGCAAGCGUUGUCCGGAUUUACUGGGCGUAAAGAGCGUGUAGGCGGCCAAGCAGGUCCGUUGUGAAAACUGGAGGCUUAACCUCCAGACGUCGACGGAAACCGCGUGGCUAGAGUCCGGAAGAGGAGAGUGGAAUUCCUGGUGUAGCGGUGAAAUGCGUAGAUAUCAAGAGGAACACCUGAGGCGAAGGCGGGUUGCUAGGCUGACACUGACGCUGAGGCGCGAAAGCUAGGGUAGCAAACGGG